rnacentral:tRNA from 1 species
AGAGUUGUUGCUUACUGGUAGAGUGCUUGCCUAGCAUGCAUGAUGUACUGGGUUUGAUCCCCAGCACCACAU